rnacentral:tRNA from 1 species
UCCGGCGUGGUCUAGUGGCUAGGAUACCUGGCUUUCACCCAGGAGGCCUGGGUUCGAUUCCCGACGUCGGAA